rnacentral:rRNA from 1 species
GACGAACGCUGGCGGCGUGCCUAAUACAUGCAAGUCGAGCGGAUGACGGAGGAGCUUGCUCCUCUAGAUUCAGCGGCGGACGGGUGAGUAACACGUGGGCAACCUGCCCUGUAGAUUGGGAUAACUCCGGGAAACCGGGGCUAAUACCGAAUAAUCCUUCGGACCUCAUGGUCCGAUGUUGAAAGAAGGUUUCGGCUGUCACUACAGGAUGGGCCCGCGGCGCAUUAGCUAGUUGGUGAGGUAACGGCUCACCAAGGCCACGAUGCGUAGCCGACCUGAGAGGGUGAUCGGCCACACUGGGACUGAGACACGGCCCAGACUCCUACGGGAGGCAGCAGUAGGGAAUCUUCCACAAUGGACGAAAGUCUGAUGGAGCAACGCCGCGUGAGUGAAGAAGGUUCUCGGAUCGUAAAACUCUGUUGUGAGGGAAGAACAAGUACCGGAGUAACUGCCGGUGCCUUGACGGUACCUCAUUAGAAAGCCACGGCUAACUACGUGCCAGCCGCCGCCGUAA